rnacentral:rRNA from 1 species
AAACAUGAGAGUUUGAUCCUGGCUCAGAACGAACGCUGGCGGCACGCCUAACACAUGCAAGUCGAACGAAGCAUAAGAGCUUGCUCUUAUGACUGAGUGGCGCACGGGUGAGUAACACGUGGGAAUCUGCCUAUUGGUGGGGAAUAACUUUUGGAAACGAAAGCUAAUACCGCAUAUACCCUGAGGGGGAAAGAUUUAUCGCCAAUAGAUGAGCCCGCGCUAGAUUAGCUAGUUGGUGAGGUAAGAGCUCACCAAGGCUACGAUCUAUAGCUGGUCUGAGAGGAUGGUCAGCCACACUGGGACUGAGACACGGCCCAGACUCCUACGGGAGGCAGCAGUGGGGAAUAUUGGACAAUGGGNNGUAAUACGAAGGGUGCAAGCGUUGUUCGGAAUUACUGGGCGUAAAGAGCGCGUAGGCGGCUUAUCAAGUCAGGCGUGAAAUCCCUGGGCUCAACCCGGGAAUUGCGUUUGAAACUGGUAGGCUUGAGUGUCAGAGGGGUGAGUGGAAUUCCUAGUGUAGAGGUGAAAUUCGUAGAUAUUAGGAGGAACACCAGUGGCGAAGGCGACUCACUGGCUGAAUACUGACGCUAAGGCGCGAAAGCGUGGGGAGCAAA